CCUACGGGUGGCAGCAGUGAGGAAUAUUGGUCAAUGGACGAAAGUCUGAACCAGCCAAGUCGCGUGAAGGAUGACUGCCCUAUGGGUUUUAAACUUCUUUUAUAAAGGAAUAAAACGAGGCACGUGUGCCUGUUUGCAUGUACUUUAUGAAUAAGGCUAGGCUAACUCCGUGCCAGCAGCCGCGGUAAUACGGAGGAUCCGGGCGUUAUCCGGAUUUAGUGGGUUUAAAGGGAGCGUAGAUGGGUUGUUAAGUCAGUUGUGAAAGUUUGCGGCUCAACCGUAGAAUUGCAAUUGAUACUGGGAGUCUUGAGUACAGUUGAGGUAGGCGGAAUGCGUGGUGUAGCAGUGAAAUGCUUAGAUAUCACGAAGAACCCCGAUUGCGAAGGCAGCUUACUAAACUGUGACUGACAUUGAGGCUCGAAAGUGUGGGUAUCAAACAGGAUUAGAUACCCUGGUAGUC
rnacentral:rRNA from 1 species